rnacentral:rRNA from 1 species
AGGGUUCGAUUAUGGCUCAGGAUGAACGCUGGCGGCGUGCUUAACACAUGCAAGUCGAACGAACCUUCGGGUUAGUGGCGGACGGGUGAGUAACGCGUGAGAAUCUGCCCUCAGGAGGGGGAUAACGGUUGGAAACGACCGCUAAUACCCCAUAUGCCUAUUGGUGAAAUGAAUUUCGCCUGAGGAUGAGCUCGCGUCUGAUUAGCUUGUUGGUGAGGUAAUGGCUCACCAAGGCUUCGAUCAGUAGCUGGUCUGAGAGGAUGAUCAGCCACACUGGGACUGAGACACGGCCCAGACUCCUACGGGAGGCAGCAGUGGGGAAUUUUCCGCAAUGGGCGAAAGCCUGACGGAGCAACGCCGCGUGAGGGACGAAGGCCUCUGGGCUGUAAACCUCUUUUCUCAAGGAAGAAGAUAUGACGGUACUUGAGGAAUAAGCCACGGCUAAUUCCGUGCCAGCCGCCGCGG